rnacentral:rRNA from 1 species
UACGGGGGGGGGCAAGCGUUGUUCGGAAUUACUGGGCGUAAAGGGCUCGUAGGCGGCCAACUAAGUCGGAUGUGAAAUCCCUCGGCUUAACCGGGGAACUGCGUCUGAUACUGGAUGGCUUGAGAUUGGGAGAGGGAUGCGGAAUUCCAGGUGUAGCGGUGAAAUGCGUAGAUAUCGGGAGGAACACCAGUGGCGAAAGCGGCUCUCUGGUCCAAAACUGACGCUGAGGGGCGAAAGCGUGGGGAGCGAACGGG